rnacentral:rRNA from 1 species
UACGUAGGGUGCGAGCGUUAAUCGGAAUUACUGGGCGUAAAGCGUGCGCAGGCGGCUUGCUAAGACAGGUGUGAAAGCCCCGAGCUUAACUUGGGAAUGGCGCUUGUGACUGGCGGGCUGGAGUGUGGCAGAGGGAGGUGGAAUUCCACGUGUAGCAGUGAAAUGCGUAGAGAUGUGGAGGAACACCGAUGGCGAAGGCAGCCUCCUGGGCCAGCACUGACGCUCAUGCACGAAAGCGUGGGGAGCAAACAGG